rnacentral:rRNA from 1 species
AACUUUCAACAACGGAUCUCUUGGUUCUGGCAUCGAUGAAGAACGCAGCGAAAUGCGAUAAGUAAUGUG